rnacentral:rRNA from 1 species
CCUACGGGCGGCAGCAGUGAGGAAUAUUGGUCAAUGGGCGCGAGCCUGAACCAGCCAAGUCGCGUGAGGGAAGACGGUCCUAUGGAUUGUAAACCUCUUUUGUCGGGGAGCAAAAGACGCCACGCGUGGCGUUCCGAGAGUACCCGAAGAAAAAGCAUAGGCUAACUCCGUGCCAGCAGCCGCGGUAAUAGGGAGGAUGCGAGCGUUAUCCGGAUUUAUUGGGUUUAAAGGGUGCGCAGGCGGAAGAUCAAGUCAGCGGUAAAAUUGAGAGGCUCAACCUCUUCGAGCCGUUGAAACUGGUGUUCUUGAGUGCGCGAGAAGUAUGCGGAAUGCGUGGUGUAGCGGUGAAAUGCAUAGAUAUCACGCAGAACUCCGAUUGCGAAGGCAGCAUACCGGCGCUCAACUGACGCUGAUGCACGAAAGUGUGGGUAUCGAACAGGAUUAGAUACCCGUGUAGUC